GGCGAACGGGUGAGUAACACGUAGGAAUCUACCCAGAAGUGGGGGACAACCCGGAGAAAUCCGGGCUAAUACCGCAUACGCCCUAAGGGGUAAAGCGGGGGACCUUUUCGAAGGCCUCGCGCUUUUGGAUGAGCCUGCGUCGGAUUAGCUUGUUGGUGAGGUAAUGGCUCACCAAGGCAACGAUCCGUAGCUGGUCUGAGAGGAUGACCAGCCACACUGGGACUGAGACACGGCCCAG
rnacentral:rRNA from 1 species